AUUGAACGCUGGCGGAAUGCUUUACACAUGCAAGUCGAACGGCAGCACGGACUUCGGUCUGGUGGCGAGUGGCGAACGGGUGAGUAAUGUAUCGGAACGUGCCCGGUCGUGGGGGAUAACGUAGUGAAAAUUACGCUAAUACCGCAUACGAUCUAUGGAUGAAAGCGGGGGAUCGCAAGACCUCGCACGAUUGGAGCGGCCGAUAUCAGAUUAGGUAGUUGGUGGGGUAAAGGCCCACCAAGCCAACGAUCUGUAGCUGGUCUGAGAGGACGACCAGCCACACUGGAACUGAGACACGGUCCAGACUCCUACGGGAGGCAGCAGUGGGGAAUUUUGGACAAUGGGCGAAAGCCUGAUCCAGCCAUUCCGCGUGCAGGAUGAAGGCCCUCGGGUUGUAAACUGCUUUUGUACAGAACGAAAAGGUUUCUACUAAUACUAGGAGCUCAUGACGGUACUGUAAGAAUAAGCACCGGCUAACUACGUGCCAGCCGCCGCGGUAA
rnacentral:rRNA from 1 species